rnacentral:lncRNA from 1 species
AUGUUCGUGCUGUGGUCUUUAAGGCAAGCUUGUACCGGAGAAGCAACAGCUUGUCUCUGAGAUCCUGACGAUUUCUUGUAGAUUCGACAUAAGACCCAAUCGUCCAACUGUAAGAGAACGAGUUUAGCGAUUUGAUUUCGAUUUAUGUUUUUACUAUAUUUAAUCUGUGUGUUGUUGUUACCUUGGAGCUGCCAUGGCUACGAGAAUGCUCGAUGAGUCGAUACUCGUGCAUAAUCCAGUUUGUUUUCGUGCCUUUUGGAGCUUUCCCGGCGUAGAAAACCAGAGCUUUUUUUAUCCCGACUCGGUGACCUUCCGACAUGAUGAUCUUGUCCGUACCCGUCGCCUUCCAAUAACCUGACCCGGCUACUCUAUUGGGUCUUGACCCGUUCGGAUAUUUCCGGUCUCUUGGGCUAAAGAAGUACCAUUCCUUCUCCCCGAACAAGGCCUUACCUGCGCGCGAACACAUCACAAAACACCAUAAAGUAAUCAACUUUACAAUAAUAGUCUCUUAGUUUUUAACAUUUUCUCAAAUUAAACACAAAAUUAAAAAUAACACUCUACUGUUUGCUUACUUGGCAAAUCCCAAGGAUCGAACUUGUAGAGAUCGAUAUCUCCGAUGAUCUGGAGAGAGAAAUGAUAGCCUGCAACUUUCCGACAGAGAUACUGAACAAGAAGCUCUUCAUCUGUCGGGUAAAAACGAAAACCCGGAGGUAAGCUCAACUGGGCUAACGGAUCCUUCUCUCUAACGCCCAUUUUUUUCUCUACUUCGAUUCUUCAGGAGAUAAAAUAAUGUGUUUAGAUGUUUAAGUUCGUCGAUCUCUUUUUUAGACAACCAUGCAAGUAGCUGCUUUAUAUAUAGGCUGUGUAAAAGGCAAAGGCUCAACCAAGCUCGUAGCUUGGUGGUAGAGGCAGAGGUGCACUGUCCGCCACCCAGGUUGGAGCUGUUACUGUCCAGAUACCAGAGUUUAAAAAAAAAAAAAAAAAAAAAAAAA